rnacentral:lncRNA from 1 species
AAGGAUUUUAAGAACUCUAUCUCAGGAUAAAGACCUGAGGGUCACAAGAUGUACAUUGCUGGCCUCAGCUGGAUUUUCCCAGGGUCAGGUGCCCAUUCCUACCUAAUCAAAGGUCAUGAGUCCUCACACGUUUUCAAGAGUUUGGAAAAUGAUCUCCCUUGCCAGACUGCCAAUCUUCAAAGGGAGUUCUAUAUGUGGAAGAAAAAGAAAAAAUUUAUGUGCAUUUACCCUGUUUAAUACACUCAUCAUAUAUAGUAUUUUUGCAACAGCAAAAAUAACACUCUUAAUUUAGUAUGUAAUUAUAUAUGUCAUAUACUUAAUAUACAAAAUAUUUUCCUUGCUAACCUAUACGAUUUCAAAUGCCUGGAACAAUAGAUAAUUCAUGUGAUUACUUGAGAGUAUGUAAAUUUUAAUAUGUUAACAUAUACUGGCAAAGUUCUAAAAGUUGCGAUUUUAUGGGAGGCCAAAUUAUGUACAUAUUAGUUUGUCUGAAGACUUGAGCCAAAAGGAAACUAAUACACUUCUGAGCUACAAUAUGGACAUAAUGUCAUGAAGCAGGAACAUUAUGCUCCAUUUCAGGACACUUCUGCUGACCUGCACCUAGAAUACCCUGUUCUGUGCUGAUGACUCAGAUGUAAGAAUGAUGAAGUGCAUCGGCUGGCAUGCAGAGAACAAUAAGAAAAAGAACUGAGUUGUGGGAAGACAUGAGGAAAGGACAUGAGGCUCUUAAUAACAGCUGCCAAGUACUGCAGUCGGGAAUCUGGAGCAAAGUGAUUCAAUUCUGACCACUGCCUGUGAGUAAAUGGGAUUUU